UUGACCUCAAAUCAGGUAGGACUACCCGCUGAACUUAAGCAUAUCAAUAAGCGGAGGAAAAGAAACUAACAAGGAUUCCCCUAGUAACUGCGAGUGAAGCGGGAAAAGCUCAAAUUUGAAAUCUGGCAGUCUUUUUUUUCUUCUUUGGCUGUCCGAGUUGUAAUCUAGAGAAGUGCUUACCUGCGCUGGACCAUGUAUAAGUCUCCUGGAAUGGAGCMUCACAGAGGGUGAGAAUCCCGUCUUUGACAUGGACUGCCAGCGUGUUGUGGUGUGCUCUCAAAGAGUCGAGUUGUUUGGGAAUGCAGCUCUAAAUGGGUGGUAAACUCCAUCUAAAGCUAAAUAUUGGCGAGAGACCGAUAGUGAACAAGUACCGUGAGGGAAAGAUGAAAAGGACUUUGGAAAGAGAGUUAAACAGUAUGUGAAAUUGUUGAAAGGGAAACGCUUGAAGUCAGUUAUGUUGGCUCUGGGGAUCAACCUAGCUCUGUUUUGCUGGGUGAUUUUCCUAGUCUGACAGGCCAACAUCAGUCUCGACUGCUGGAAAAGAGCGGGAGGGAAUGUGGCACCUUCGGGUGUGUUAUAGCCCCUUGUCAUAUGCAGCGGUUGGGACUGAGGGAUGCAGCGUGCCGUGAAGGCUGGGUUUUGACCACGUUCACGCUUAGGAUGUUGGCUUUUAAUGGCUUCAAUCGACCCGUCUUGAAACACGGACCAAGGAGUCUAACAUGCCUGCGAGUGUUUGGGUGGGGAAAACCCUUGUGCACAAUGAAAGUGAAAGUUGAGAUCCCUGUCAUGGGGAGCAUCGACGCCCGGACCUGAGCUUUCAGCGAUGGAUCUGCGGUAGAGCAUGCAUGUUGGGACCCGAAAGAUGGUGAACUAUGCCUGAAUAGGGCAAAGCCAGAGGAAACUCUGGUGGAGGCUCGUAGCGAUUCUGACGUGCAAAUCGAUCGUCAAAUUUGGGUAUAGGGGCGAAAGACUAAUCG
rnacentral:rRNA from 1 species